GAGCCGUUAGCCACUCUGUUUUGGGAAUUUGGAGUCCCAAGUCCUUCUCCCACAGAUUCAUGUAUGUAGUUUUAUGAUUGUCGGGGGCUGCCGAAGUGAUUAGUGCGUUGUAACAUGCUGAAAGCGGUUUGAUUUGUUUGUGGAGAAGUGCCUGUUUAAGCGUUAUGUGGGGUUUGGGGGAAUGAGUAGUGCAGAGUUGAAUGUGCGAGUGCACUAUGUUUUUUAUUCGAAGGUAUUGGAAGAUAUCUCU